rnacentral:rRNA from 1 species
AGAGUUUGAUCCUGGCUCAGGACGAACGCUGGCGGCGUGCCUAAUGCGUGCAAGUCGAGCGGGCUACGAUCUUCGGAUUGUAGCUUAGCGGCGAACGGGUGAGUAACACGUAGGUAAUCUACCCUUCAGAGGAGGACAACCUCAGGAAACUGAGGCUAAACCUUCAUACGUUCACUGGUAGGGAUACUGGUGAAGAAAGAGUUACCUUAGUGGUAGCUGCUGAAGGAUGAGCCUGCGGCCCAUCAGGUAGUUGGUGAGGUAACGGCUCACCAAGCCGAAGACGGGUAACCGGUCUGAGAGGAUGUCCGGUCACACUGGGACUGAGACACGGCCCAGACUCCUACGGGAGGCAGCAGCAGGGAAUCUUGGGCAAUGGGCGAAAGCCUGACCCAGCGACGCCGCGUGGAGGAAGAAGUCCUUCGGGGCGUAAACUCCUGGACUGGGGGACGAGUAAGGACGGUACCCCAGUAGAAAGGGACGGCUAACUACGUGCCAGCAGCCGCGGUAAAACGUAGGUCCCGAGCGUUGUUCGGAUUCACUGGGUGUAAAGGGCGCGUAGGUGGUUGUCUGUGUCUCAUGUGAAAACUCAGGGCUCAACUCUGAGAUUGCGUGGGAAACUAGGCAGCUAGAGGACGGUAGAGGGGAGUGGAAUUCCCGGUGUAGCGGUAAAAUGCGUAGAUAUCGGGAGGAACACCGGUGGCGAAGGCGGCUCUCUGGGCCGAUCCUGACGCUGAGGCGCGAAAGCUAGGGGAGCGAACCGGAUUAGAUACCCGGGUAGUCCUAGCCGUAAACGAUGGGUGCUAGGUGUUGGGGGGUAAAGACCCUUCAGUGCCGAAGCCAACGCGAUAAGCAUCCCACCUGGGGAGUACGGCCGCAAGGUUGAAACUUAAAUGAAUUGACGG